rnacentral:lncRNA from 1 species
GAGGGAGAGGGCCCUUUAAGACCAGAGCGCGGCACCCCCUCCCCCCUUCCCCGGGAGAGCGAUGGGCUGAGAACAAUGGGGAACCGAUGGGGGGGAGCGGGCAGCGAGGGGGGCUAAAGGGGGUCGCCCGGUCGCGCUCCCUUGGGGCAGGCCUCAAGGGAGGGCUGGGGCUGGGGGCGCGAUUUUCCAAGACCCCUCGCCUGCGGCGCCCCCUCCUCAGCAACCUGAGCGCUCCCCUCCCUCGGGGCCCGCUCCCGGCCGAGGGAUGCGGGAUGCGCCGGGAGGUGCCAGGAUGCGCGGCGCUGCAGGCGCGGCCCAGGGCCCCUCAGGGGUCGCGUCACCACGCAGGCGAAGCCAGGAGCUGGAUCGCCUAUGCCUCCCGCCUUGCGGGUAACAACCCUCCGUCCCCAGGCCAGACCUCCCCAAAGCGCGCGCGGGCCUCCCGAAGGAGCCGGGGGUGGGGUCCCUGGGCACCCCGCGCUCUCACCGCCUCUCCCCGGUUCUGCCUCCUUCUCCGGCUCAGGCUUCAGCACCGCCGCCUCCUGGGCUCCCCCCGGAGUGGGAGGGAGCCGCGGUCCCGCCUCCGCGCCCUUUCCCUCCCAGGCCGCGCGGCGGGGCUCUGGGCUCUACGCGCGCGGACAGACUACCCAGCCGACCGACGGACGCGUGAGCCGGCGGCCGGACACCGGGAUCCCGCGGGAGGGGGUCUGGGGACCAGUGGAGAAGAAGCUGGUUCAAAGUCACCUGGAAAUUUAGCAGCAAGUUGGAAAGAAGAACUCAAGACUCCAGACUGUACAAUGCUAUUUAAUGUCUGACUAAAGGUCACCUCUUCCGAGAAGCCUUCCUUGAACUCAUCCCAUCUUCUGCGUUACAUCGCAUGUACCUUGACUGCUGCAAAGUCACUUCAGUCGUGUCUGACUCUGUGCGACCCCAUAGACGGCAGCCCACCAGGCUCCCCUGUCCCUGGGAUUCUCCAGGCAAGAACACUGGAGUGGGUUGCCAUUUCCUUCUCCAAUGCAUGAAAGUGAAAAGUGAAAGUGAAGUCGCUCAGUCGUGUCCAACUCUUAGCAACCCCGUGGACUGCAGCAUACCGGCUCCUCCGUCCAUGGGAUUUUCCAGGCAAGAGUACUGGAGUGGGGUGCCAUUGCCUUCUCCGGUAUACCUCAACAGGACACCCUUUAUCACAACAAGCCACUUUAGUGGAAUCUGUCCCUGCUGGAGUGAGACAUCCUUGAGAUAAGGGACUGUGUCUUAUUCACCUCGUGUGGUAUGGCUGGUGUUUCUUACAUAAGCAUAGUUGUUUAUUGAGUGUCUAUUAUGUGCCAAGGCGCUUAUGUAAUGCUCACUCCCCUUCACAAUUGUCCUACAAGGUAGGUAAUAUUGUCUUCAUUUUACAGAUGGAAAAAAAAAAAUCUCCUGGAGCUCAAAGCAGCUUGUCCAAGUUCCCCCAGGGAGUGAGUGGCAGAGCUGGGGUUUGAAUCCAAAAUGCUUUUGCACCUCCUACACCACCAGCGCUGCCGUGGUGUUUGUUCAGCAUCCAGCGGAGGGCAGCAUGGCCCUCACGGCGGGCCCUCUCAACUGGGCUGUGGAGCAGCUGGAAGUACAGAGCCCAGCUCCCCCACCAUCCUGGGAGAAAGAAAUUGCAAAGAGGGGAAAAGAAUUUGACCUUCAUGGAGCUCACAAUCCACUGGAGAGAUGGCUCAGACACCAGUGGAGGAGCCAAUAGAACAAAUGCAGUCCAUCACGAAAACUCUUUUUAAAAUGUAUUGUGUGUAGGAAUGACAACCCUCAUAGAAAAUCCCAGGAUUUUCUCUU